rnacentral:misc_RNA from 1 species
AAAGUCGUAACAAGGUCUCCGUAGGUGAACCUGCGGAGGGAUCAUUAACGAACGGCCCUCUGGGCCUUCAAACCCCAAAAACCGUGGAAGCGAGCCGUGCUUCGGCGCCCCCGUGGCGCCGUAUUUAUGCAAUGACCAGUCCGUUGUCUGAACUGGAAACAAAUGAUUAAAACUUUCAACAAAGGAUCUCUUGGCUCUC